UUUGCCACCCAUAACCGUCACCCGUCAGAUACCCGUCACCCGUCUGGUCUCCGCCACCCACUACCCGUCAGAUACUCGCCACUCACUACCCGGCGGACAUCGUCACCCGUCAGAUACCCGUCACCCGUCUGGUCUCCGCCACCCGCUACCCGUCAGAUACUCGCCACUCACUACCCGUCGGAUGUCCGCCGUGACUUGCGAGGUAGGGGAAUUGCUGCUUCUUGACGUCGACAUUCUACAAUCAACCACCCAACAAAUGCAAUAAAUCAACUACAAUCAUCUCGAUUCCUUCCUUCGUUAUGUCCUUUUGAAUCCACAAUCGAAGUAUCCUGACCACCACAAACUUAUUUCUUGUGUUACCAUUUAUGGCAUUCAAUCGAACUUGCUUGUUUGAUGUUGACAUCUCCUAUGUUUAAGAUAGAAAUAUUAAAAAGACAUAUUAGCUAUCUUAAAAAUAGAACUGAAAAUAAAAUAAUUUUUAGUAACUUAAAAAUAAUUAGUUGAAAAUUAAAUUUAUUCCUAUGUUUAAGAUAGAAAUAUUAAAAAGACAUAGAUAUCUUAAAAAUAGAACUGAAAAUCAAAAUAAUUUUUAGUAACUUAAAAAUAAUUAGUUGAAAAUUAAAUUUAUGUUAUAGUGACAUGUCAAAAAGAUUGGGAAAACAUUAAAAAACAUAGAACAUUAUUAAUCAUGUAUGGUUAAUAAUAAUACCAAAAAAAAUAUCCUAAUUAAUAGUAUCACGAAUUAUUAAUUAUUAGAAGCAAUGAAGAAGAAACAUUUAUGAAAUUUAAAAAUAAGAUGCUCACAUGAUUCCUGAUUGAGCAUUCGAUUCUUGGUUCAUUUUGUAAUGUUGAAGUUUAAAUUCUUGAUUGAGCAUUCGAUUAUUAUUUCCCAUCGCUAAAGUGAUUUCUCUGAAAACUGAGAAAUAAGUAAAAUAUAGAAUCUAUUAUUAUUUUAUUUUAUUUUAUUUGCUAAGAAACUGUAGAUAAAGUUGAAGUUUUAAAUUAAAAAUAUGAAACGACAAUAUAGUAAAUGAAACAAUAGACACACACUGAAGUUUUAAAUUAAAAAUAUGAAACGACAUUAUAGUAAAUGAAACAAUAGACACACACGCUAUGCUACUAUCUCUCUUUCACACACAGACACACACAUUGCGUUUAUGAGUUAAAAAAAAGAAACAGGUAGACUUUAAGCCUGUUCAAGGGGACUGACGGCGGGAUUGCGACAGCAACGGCGAGAAACCGACGCCGGAUGGUAAUGGACAUACAUGAAUACAUGAACUAAUGGAUAUGCAUGAAUACAUCGAAUUUGAACAGUACCAUAAAGUGAGUUAAUAAUCCAACUAUAUCAAAAUCCAAGAGGUUCAGAAAACUAAAACAUUGUAUUAUAUCAUUAUACUCAUUCGAUCAAUUCCAAAAGAAUCUAAUGCAAAUCACUGGAAUACAAUAUCACAUAAAAUUGGAAUACUCUAUCAUGUUUUGUUAUGUCACUACAGAUUAAUAAUCAAACCUCCCUUUUGAAUUCUCACUCACUUGCAAUUGUAGCUGAACGGAAGCCAAAAGUAAUUGAUUUGAGUGCUGCAAUAUGCAGAAAUACAGAGAGAAAAUAGGCUAUAAAUCACAAACGAACCUGUAAGGCAGUUAUUAAAGGAUUUCUACUCUCACCACAUAUAAGAUCACAUUUUUUUACUGGCAAAUGAUUGAAAACAUCAGUUAUUAAAAUACUAUAAAUAAGCAGCUACCACAAACGGACCUGUAAGGCAGAACGCAUAAGCUCGUCAACAUAAUCAAUAGUAGCACAUAAGUUACCAACUCCAGAUCACAAAUCAUAUUCCUCAGAAUCCUUUGGGCAGGCUCAGCAAAUAAAAAUAUAGCUCAGAAAGAUGGAACUGGAACUGGAAAUAGAAAUAGAAUCAUACCGUCAGCAGAUGGUUGAGAGGCACUUUGAAUUCCUUGAUGGCGAAUUUCAGAACUAAAAUAUAGAGAAAGAAAAAGAAUUAAACCAGUAACAAUUACAAUAAAGCUUAAAACUGAUUCUUGACAUAUGUGUAAAGAAUAGAAGAAAAGUAUAACAUUGUGAUAAAAGCAACAAUGCCUGCAAGAUUUCAAACAACAGUGAUAAAAUACCUCAAAGAAUUUCAUUACUUUU
rnacentral:lncRNA from 1 species